CGGCCGGACAAGUUUGUUGGGAAAUCCACGUGCUUAACACGUGGGCGUCCAGCGAAAACUGUCUGGCUUGGGGCCGGAAGACUCGAGGGGUACGUCCGGGGUAGGAGUGAAAUCCCGUAAUCCUGGACGGACCGCCGGUGGCGAAAGCGCCUCGAGAGGACGGACCCGACGGUGAGGGACGAAAGCCAGGGUCUCGAACCGGAUUAGAUACCCGGGUAGUCCUGGCCGUAAACGAUGUCUGCUAGGUGUGGCGCAGGCUACGAGCCUGCGCUGUGCCGUAGGGAAGCCGUGAAGCAGACCGCCUGGGAA
rnacentral:rRNA from 1 species